rnacentral:rRNA from 2 species
UUGAUUGGUGCUUGCAUCAUGAUUUACAUUUGAGUGAGUGGCGAACUGGUGAGUAACACGUGGGAAACCUGCCCAGAAGCGGGGGAUAACACCUGGAAACAGAUGCUAAUACCGCAUAACAACUUGGACCGCAUGGUCCGAGCUUGAAAGAUGGCUUCGGCUAUCACUUUUGGAUGGUCCCGCGGCGUAUUAGCUAGAUGGUGGGGUAACGGCUCACCAUGGCAAUGAUACGUAGCCGACCUGAGAGGGUAAUCGGCCACAUUGGGACUGAGACACGGCCCAAACUCCUACGGGAGGCAGCAGUAGGGAAUCUUCCACAAUGGACGAAAGUCUGAUGGAGCAACGCCGCGUGAGUGAAGAAGGGUUUCGGCUCGUAAAACUCUGUUGUUAAAGAAGAACAUAUCUGAGAGUAACUGUUCAGGUAUUGACGGUAUUUAACCAGAAAGCCACGGCUAACUACGUGCCAGCAGCCGCGGUAAUACGUAGGUGGCAAGCGUUGUCCGGAUUUAUUGGGCGUAAAGCGAGCGCAGGCGGUUUUUUAAGUCUGAUGUGAAAGCCUUCGGCUCAACCGAAGAAGUGCAUCGGAAACUGGGAAACUUGAGUGCAGAAGAGGACAGUGGAACUCCAUGUGUAGCGGUGAAAUGCGUAGAUAUAUGGAAGAACACCAGUGGCGAAGGCGGCUGUCUGGUCUGUAACUGACGCUGAGGCUCGAAAGUAUGGGUAGCAAACAGGAUUAGAUACCCUGGUAGUCCAUACCGUAAACGAUGAAUGCUAAGUGUUGGAGGGUUUCCGCCCUUCAGUGCUGCAGCUAACGCAUUAAGCAUUCCGCCUGGGGAGUACGGCCGCAAGGCUGAAACUCAAAGGAAUUGACGGGGGCCCGCACAAGCGGUGGAGCAUGUGGUUUAAUUCGAAGCUACGCGAAGAACCUUACCAGGUCUUGACAUACUAUGCAAAUCUAAGAGAUUAGACGUUCCCUUCGGGGACAUGGAUACAGGUGGUGCAUGGUUGUCGUCAGCUCGUGUCGUGAGAUGUUGGGUUAAGUCCCGCAACGAGCGCAACCCUUAUUAUCAGUUGCCAGCAUUAAGUUGGGCACUCUGGUGAGACUGCCGGUGACAAACCGGAGGAAGGUGGGGAUGACGUCAAAUCAUCAUGCCCCUUAUGACCUGGGCUACACACGUGCUACAAUGGAUGGUACAACGAGUUGCGAACUCGCGAGAGUAAGCUAAUCUCUUAAAGCCAUUCUCAGUUCGGAUUGUAGGCUGCAACUCGCCUACAUGAAGUCGGAAUCGCUAGUAAUCGCGGAUCAGCAUGCCGCGGUGAAUACGUUCCCGGGCCUUGUACACACCGCCCGUCACACCAUGAGAGUUUGUAACACCCAAAGUCGG